CUAAGUAACAAUGUGGAAUUCUGAACCACAAUAUCUGAGAUCCUCUGGCGUAGGUAAUCUGGUGAAGAGACAGCUCUACCUAAUGAUACAGAAAAACAGAUGUGGCUGCUGAUAAUGAACAAAAUAACCACCAUACCAGCUUUAGGGGCAUUGCGGUGCUAGCUGUUCCUGUACAUCAAACAACAUGAUUUUGCCUGAGCUAUGGAAAGCCAGUGUUCAGUUUUGCCCAUUUAUCAUCUACCUCUUCAGUUUUCCAGAUGGAUUCCAGACAUUGGAGAAAACCGUGAUUGAAAAACAUGUGCCCAAACUAAGGCUGUGAAGUUUCAUAGUGACGCGCUGUAAGAAAGACUGUUCUCUCUUGCUUUAGAUAACUGGUGCUUAGAACUGAAACACCCA
rnacentral:lncRNA from 1 species